UCUGCUUCUUUUCUUCUUUCCUUCGAUAAUUUCACUUCAUUUCUUCACUGUUCCCACUUCCCACUGGCACUAUUUUUUAGAUCUCCACAGCCAUAAGCUUCUUCUCCAAAAACACCGAAACAUCUCUUCAGCACUCUUACUUCGAUCUCCAUAGCCAUAAACAAUUACAAAAAUGCGAAGCAAGCUGCACAUAACGCCAUCGUCAAGAUCCAGAUCCCCAAUUCUCCUCCUCACACUCUCCUUCCUCGCCAUCUCUCUCCUCUUCUUCCUCUUCUCCCUUUCUUCCUCCCAAACCCGGAUCCAGUCCCCCUACUUGAACCCUAGUCUCGCCUUCAAGCCCGAAACCUCCUUUCUCGCUUCUCUCGAGCACUUUCUCGCUGAAAAAGCUCCCAGAUCAUCUUCAACUCGCGAUGAUACGGUUAUCCAAGUCACCGACGAGGAGGUGACUGAAUUGGAUAAGGAAAUGUACAGGAAGGAGAGUGAGAGAGUGUCUGGGAAUCCGUACUACCCUCUUGAGUUUCCGAUUAGGGUUUAUGUGUAUGAGAUGCCGAGGAAAUUCACCUAUGAUUUGCUUUGGCUGUUUAGGAAUACUUAUAGAGAGACUGAUAAUCUCACCUCUAAUGGCAGCCCCGUGCAUCGAUUAAUUGAACAGCAUUCCAUUGAUUAUUGGCUUUGGGCAGAUUUGAUAGCUCCAGAAUCAGAGAGGCUUUUGAAAAGUGUCGUGAGAGUUCAUAGGCAGGAGGAAGCCGACUUGUUCUACAUCCCUUUCUUCACUACAAUCAGCUUUUUCUUGCUUGAGAAGCAACAAUGCAAGGCUCUUUAUAGGGAAGCAUUGAAGUGGGUGACAGAUCAGCCUGCAUGGAAACGAUCUGGAGGGAGGGAUCACAUUCUUCCCGUUCAUCAUCCCUGGUCUUUCAAGUCUGUUCGUAGAUAUAUGAAAAAUGCAAUUUGGUUGCUACCUGAUAUGGACUCCACAGGGAACUGGUACAAACCAGGGCAAGUGUUUCUGGAGAAAGAUCUAAUUCUUCCAUAUGUCCCCAAUGUUGAUUUGUGUGAUGCCAGGUGUUUAUCAAAAAGUGAAUCAAAGAGAACCACCCUACUUUUUUUCCGUGGGCGGCUUAAAAGAAAUGCAGGUGGGAAGAUACGUGCUAAACUUGUAUCAGAACUAAGUGGUGCUGACGGAGUCAUUAUAGAGGAGGGGACAGCUGGGGAUGGAGGGAAAUCAGCAGCUCAGAUUGGCAUGCGCAAGUCCAUCUUUUGCUUAAAUCCAGCUGGUGACACUCCAUCAUCCGCCAGAUUAUUUGAUGCUAUUGUCAGUGGGUGCAUCCCUGUAAUAAUUAGUGAUGAAUUGGAGCUCCCUUUUGAAGGGAUACUUGAUUAUAGAAAGGUGCACAUGCAUUUUGUAGCUUGUAUUGUUGUUUCCUUUUUAUCAAAUUCAAUGUAUCUUGGACGCUUUCCUUUUUUGGUCUAAUAGAUGUUGGCAUAGACUGAUAGUAGUGGGAUGGCCUAUCUGAGGUUGGAAUUAAGUCUGCAUUUUACUGAGCCAUAGAAUCAACAUAUAGCUUUAUUUGUUUCAUCUUCUGAUGCCAUGCAACCAGGGUGGUUGUUGAAAUUUUUGAAAGGUAUUGGCGCUGCUCAAGUAAGGGAAAUGCGACAGAAACUUGGUCAGUACUCGAGGCAUUUUCUGUAUUCUAGUCCAGCUCAGCCCUUGGGUCCAGAAGACUUAGUCUGGAGAAUGAUGGCUGGUAAAUUGGUGAACAUCAAACUUCACACUCGAAGAUCACAGCGUGUGGUGAAAGAGUCUAGGAGCAUAUGUACUUGUGACUGUAA